rnacentral:lncRNA from 1 species
UGAAGAAAUAAUGAAGCCAUGAUGGCUGGGAAAGUAAGCAAAUUUAGGGGAAGUGCUAUCCGAAGUUUUAAAGGACUUGUUUGCAUUGAGUUUGUGAUCUAAGACUUGGAUUUGAGCAAGGCAAUGUUAUGUGAUGGAUGAUUUCUGAGCCGUGGAGGUGAGUGACCUCAAACUACUUCUAAAGUUAUUUAUGAACCGUUUCUUACAUUAUUUACUUUUGAACUGUUUCCAAAGUUACUUUUGAAAUAUUUUCUUGCAUAUCAUGCGUGCUGGCAUGUGAGUGUGCCUUGUUUGCUAUAUUUCUUGACUUCAUGACUUGUAUUUUGGUUGAUAACGUGUUAAGCGCUUAUAAUGAUUUCCAAAACGAGUUUUCGAGGCGAGUGUGUACUUUAUCGCACUCGACCUCGAUAAAUGUGAAAUUUUCGAUUGAAAUGUUACUUGCGCAUGAAUGUAAGCCUUUUGGGCUGAACUGGCCAUUGCCCCUUGUUACCGGUCGUCUUGAGCCAGAAGCGGACUCGGUCAGGCGAUUAGGAACUUGGGUGAACGUUUGGUAUACUCGAGUAUUACCUAUGUAGGUUGGUGGAGCCUGACCAAAAGCCAGGGACGGGGUGAAUGAAAUGAAAUGAAUGAUCAAAUGAGCGAGGAAAUGUCAGGAGAAUGAAUGUAUCCUUUCAUGAAUGUUACUAUCGCUUUCCAUUGUACAUGUUUCUUGAAUUAUUGAUACUCCAUAUUUAAUGUUUUGCAAAUGAUGUAAUCGUUUCUGGACUUAUCAUUUGAUUUAUGACAUCAUUGAAAAGAAAUAUUGUUAAACCAAUUUGAUUACUGAUUUUCUGGUUACUCGCUGAGCUUCUAGCUCACCCCAAAAACUAUUUUAUUUCCCCCCCCACAGGGCUCAAGGUGAAGAAAAGCUUGGAGUGCUUAUUCACGUGACUAGAUGGCUUAUAUCGUGUACAGUUUAAGUUUGGAUCUAUUUUAUGUAUGAGUUGGUCUUGUGUAAAUAUUUGAAAUUGAUAUGGAUGUAAGUAUACGUUCCACGAUUGGAAUCAGUUUCCGCUGCAUUUGUAAUAUGUAAUCAUUGGAGAAUUUGAUGUAAUUUUGAGAUUUAUAUU